CUUAAGAAAAAGUAUUAUUGGCAGCACUGCUAAUUUAGAUGUCAGUUUUGAGUUUCAGUUCUUGUUGAAAUUUUAAUACACAUACUUUAAAAAAAGAAAAAAAAAAACAAAAUAAACAAAAGUUUAUAUUAAAAUGGAUAGUUUUGAAAAAACACAGCUAAUAGAUUUGUUGAUGGGUCAAUCGAGAGAUCGUGACCAAGAAGAUAUAAAGGAGUUGUUUUCGCUAGUUUUUGAAGAUAGUUCCAGCUCAAGUUCCAGUUCUGAUGAAUCAGAAUUUGAUGACCAUGGCAACCUACCUGCUCAAAUCUAAUACAAACCAUCGACAAUUGUAGUCCUAACAAAUAGCCAUCGAGUACUUAACAUCAAUGUUCUCCUAGUUGAGUACUCUUCCAGAUCUUACUGAUGCCGGAACAGUUCUUAUGUAGAUAUACAUACAUAAGUCAAACCUAAACAUUAAUGGAGCUGGAAAAUCUAUUUUAAGUCAAACAUUGAAAAUAAUUUAAGACAACCCAGGAUAAUUUUUUUUUUGAAAAUACAAACAAUCUUUUAUUUA